CUUAGAUCCUCAGGUGAGAAUUGGGAGACAGAUGCGCAAGGAUUAAUUGGUAGGAGUUUGACAAAAGCAAGGAGAACAGUUUGAUAAACACUUAGUUUAAUUUGAGAAGUACAGAUAGAAAAUAGAAAGGAGGAAUGAGAGAUUAUUACUCUAAUACCUUAUGACUAUACCUAAAUUCCUAAUCCUAACUAAAAUUUCUAAAAAUUCCUACAUUGUCUUCGAGGACAGGUUCUUCUGCCUGGGUAGACCAGGCCUAAACUAUUUACUCUACCUAGGAAUUUAUUCACUAAUGACCUACCUGUACUAAUAAAUAAACAUACAUCACCUAUGAACUCCUUAAAUCCAUUUUUCUGUAUCCCAACUGUUAGUAGUUAAAACUGCCAGAGCCUAAGAGACAGAGAACCAGCUCCCUCAAGGUCCAGAGACCAAAAGUCCCUCAACUGCCAACUAAAUCCUUUCUUAUGUAUCUUGUCUCCUAGGUAACAGAAUCUUCAUCUCUGGCUAACUCUCCCAGAAGCCUGUCAGUUCUUUUCUACUUAGAAAUCCUUCUGCUCACUUUCCUAACUCUUAAAGAGAUAGAGGGAGAGAUUAAGAAAAUCUCUUUAACAUAUGGACAUCAAAGGAAGAAAGUAACCCUGAAAAAGUCUCAAUAAACCCUCAUACUAGAGGGCUCCUGAUCAUCUCAUACACCCUAAGGGUGAAUACAUAGGGAAUAUAUACACCCUGGACACACAGGUAGAGGGGUAACUUGGGCCUUUGACAAUAUAGGGCCAUAUCUACCAAUGGUGUCAUCAUCCUGCUUUCUUCUAGUCCCAGGCCCUCUGUGAGAUGCUAUCUUGCUGGAUUUCUACUCUUUAGUGUCUGACUCAGCUGAAAUCUUUUUCAAUAGAAGAGUUCCUGUGAUGUUCUGAUGAGACCUCCUGUUCAAUUCUCAUUCUCAGAAGUGCAGUGGAUAAAGAUCUGGACAUGGAGACAGGAAGACCUAAAUUCAAAGCUAGCCUCAGUGAAACACCGUACAUUAGAUCUCAUAUUAAUCAAGCAGCUGGGACAGGUACAGAGAUGGACUGGGACCGAGUACCUGCUCUCAAGGAGCCAGUUCAUGGCCCAGGAGAUUUCCAGAACCUAACUAAGGAUGAGAAGGAGCCAAACUAUCCUCUGACCACAGGCCUUUACGACUCCUGCCGCACAUGUUCCCUGGGGAAGAUGGCAAGCAGCCAGGCUGGGCUGACUUCCAUCUGUACCAGCACAAGGCAACUCCCACCUCCUGCUGUCAGCCUGAUCUCCUAAUCAGAAUGUGGAGAAGCACUCCUGCAAAAAGAAGCAAGCCUCCCUUUGACCUCAGGCCUUCCAUCUCCUUCUGCCCUUGAGUCCUGAAAGAAGAGGAAGAGUAAAGUCAGUGAGGGACAGAGCUCUUUUUAAAUUUGGUUUGCAUUAUUAACAUUUUGUUAAAAUCCAAAUAAUCAAUAAAACAAUAAAUCCAGCCCUCUUAUGUAGCUUU
rnacentral:lncRNA from 1 species